GCAGUCGACGGCAGCACAGAGGAGCUUGCUCCUUGGGUGGCGAGUGGCGGACGGGUGAGGAAAACGUCGGAAUCUGCCUAUUUGUGGGGGAUAACGUAGGGAAACUUACGCUAAUACCGCAUACGACCUACGGGUGAAAGCGGAGGACCUUCGGGCUUCGCGCAGAUAGAUGAGCCGACGUCGGAUUAGCUAGUUGGGGGGGUAAAGGCCCACCAAGGCGACGAUCCGUAGCUGGUCUGAGAGGAUGAUCAGCCACACUGGAACUGAGACACGGUCCAGACUCCUACGGGAGGCAGCAGUGGGGAAUAUUGGACAAUGGGCGCAAGCCUGAUCCAGCCAUGCCGCGUGUGUGAAGAAGGCCUUCGGGUUGUAAAGCACUUUUGUCCGGAAAGAAAAGCACUGGGUUAAUACCCUGGUGUCAUGACGGUACCGGAAGAAUAAGCACCGGCUAACUUCGUGCCAGCAGCCGCGGUAAUACGAAGGGUGCAAGCGUUACUCGGAAUUACUGGGCGUAAAGCGUGCGUAGGCGGUUUGUUAAGUCUGAUGUGAAAGCCCUGGGCUCAACCUGGGAAUGGCAUUGGAUACUGGCAAUCUAGAAUGUGGUAGAGGGUGGCGGAAUUCCCGGUGUAGCAGUGAAAUGCGUAGAUAUCGGGAGGAACA
rnacentral:rRNA from 1 species